rnacentral:rRNA from 1 species
CACGUAGGGGGCAAGCGUUGUCCGGAUUUAUUGGGCGUAAAGAGCGUGUAGGCGGUUAUACAGGUCCGCUGUGAAAACUGGAGGCUUAACCUCCAGACGUCGGUGGAAACCGUAUAACUAGAGUCCGGAAGAGGAGAGUGGAAUUCCUGGUGUAGCGGUGAAAUGCGCAGAUAUCAGGAAGAACACCCGUGGCGAAGGCGGCUCUCUGGGAUGGUACUGACGCUGAGACGCGAAAGCGUGGGGAGCGAACAGG